AUGGGUUAUCGAUGGGUUAUCGAUCACUAUCGCUGGGUUAUUGAUCAGUUAUCGAUAGGUUAUCAAUCAAUCACUGUGGAUGGGUUAUCGAUCAGUUAUCGAUCAGUUAUCGAUGGGUUAUUGAUUGUUAUCGAUAGGUUAUUGAUCAAUCACUGUGGAUGGGUUAUCGCUGGGUUAUCAAUCAGUUAUCGCUGGGUUAUUGAUCAAUCACUGUGGAUGGGUUAUCGAUCAGUUAUCGAUGGGUUAUUGAUCAAUCACUGUGGAUGGGUUAUCGAUCAGUUAUCGAUGGGUUAUUGAUUGUUAUCGAUGGGUUAUCGAUGGGUUAUUGAUCAAUCACUGUGGAUGGAUUAUUGAUGGGUUAUUGAUCGCUAUCGCUGCGUUAUUGAUCGGUUAUCGAUGAGUUAUCGAUCAAUCACUGUGGAUGGGUUAUUGAUGGGUUAUCACUGGGUUAUUGAUGAGUUAUCGACAGGUUAUUGAUGGGUUAUUGAUGGGCUAUUGAUCGCUAUCGAUGGGUUAUUGAUGGGUUAUCGCUGGGUUAUUGAUCAGUUAUCGAUGGGUUAUUGAUCAAUCACUGUGGAUGGGUUAUCGCUGGGUUAUUGAUCAGUUAUGGAUGGGUUAUUGAUCAAUCACUGUGGAUGGGUUAUUGAUGGGUUAUUGAUGGGUUAUCAAUGGGUUAUUGAUCGCUAUCGCUGUGGAUAGGUUAUCGCUGGGUUAUUGAUCAGUUAUCGAUGGGGUAUUGAUCAAUCACUGUGGAUGGGUUAUCGAUCGGUUAUCGAUCAAUCACUGUGGAUGGGUUAUCGCUGGGUUAUCGAUGAGUUAUCGAUGGGUUAUCGAUCAAUCACUGUGGAUGGGUUAUCGCUGGGUUAUUGAUCAGUUAUGGAUGGGGUAUUGAUCAAUCACUGUGGAUGGGUUAUCGAUCAGUUAUCGAUCAGUUAUCGAUCAGUUAUCGAUGGGUUAUUGAUGGGCACUCACGUGACCACGGCGUUGGGGUUUUUC
rnacentral:lncRNA from 1 species